GCGUUUGAUUACGCAAUGGGAAACGUCACGUGACCCAGGUGUCUGAAAGCAACUAUCCAAAAACUCCAAUCCCUAUUGGCCGGCGAGAGCCUAUGACGUAAUAUGGCGCGACCCGGAAGUAUAAAAGGAGCGUCUGGAGAAACAGAAGACAUCUCAUCGUCUCCGCUUUAAAUCCAACAGAGAUUUGGAUCACAGUUGUUAUCUUUCAGUGUAACAUUAUUGGAAUAUGUGCUGUGUGGAUCGUAUAUCUCUGCCUCAGGAUUAGACAAGAAAAGGCAUUAUCUCCAGUUACUUCCAUUCCCAGCCAGCCUCAUAGCGAUCACAUGUCCAUUGAAAUUCCUGAUGCCAAGAGUCAUUCAUCCAGUUUUUGAUGCUAAUCAAGAUCAAAGCCUGAGGGGACAGUGAUGCUCAAUAAAAGACAAUCAUUCUUAAAUGAAACAUUCUGAUUAAAAAAAAAAGAGAGAGAGAGAGAGGAAAAAUUUUCCAUUUUUU